UUUGGGGGAAUUUUGGGAUUUUUGGGGGGAUUUUUGGGGUGAUUUUGGGGGUUGUUUUUUCGGGUUUUUGGGGGCGAUUUUGGGGGUUGUUUGCUGGGGUUUUUGGGGGGGAUGGGGGGAUUUUUGGGGGGAUUUUGGGUGUUGUUUGUUCAGGUUUUUUGGGGGGGAUUUGGGGAUUUUUGGGGGGAUUUUUGGGGUGAUUUUGGGUGUUGUUCAUUCGGGUUUUUUGGGGGGGAUUUGGGGAUUUUUGGGGGGAUUUUGGGGGCGAUUUUGGGUGUUGUUUAUUCAGGUUUUUUGGGGGGAUUCGGGGAUUUUUGGGGGGAUUUUUGGGGUGAUUUUGGGUGUUGUUUAUUCGGGUUUUUUGGGGGGGAUUCGGGGAUUUUCGUAGGGAUUUUUUGGGGGAUUUUUGGGGGGAUUUUUGGGGGAUUUUUUGGGGGAUUUUUGGGGGGAUUUUUGGGUUUCUGACCCCCCGAUUUUCCCCUCCCAGGGCGCGGAUGGGGAGCCGAGGGCUCGGGGACCCCAAGGACAUUUUGGGGCCAAAGGGGACGAGGGCACGCGGGGCUUCAACGGCCCCCCUGGGCCCAUCGGCCUGCAGAUUCACCACCACUCAAAUUAUCAACCCUCAAAUCCAUCAGGGAGAGAGGAGUCCCCCCUUGCCUCAUGGGCCUCCCCUGGAAGCACAAUUAAAACCUCCUGUGCUUCCGCGUCACCCAUGUCCCCGCACAGAGAACAUCGGCCCUCGUGACUUCUCCCCCCCAUGUCCAGUGCUCUCACCACUGGACACGGGCCAGGACUGCCUUUAGGGCUCCCCGUUUAAAGAUGCUCCACCCACUUCCAGAAGCAGCAGCCUCUCAACUUCGGGACACCCGUCCCCCCCCCACAUUUCACCCCCUGGGGCCGAGGGGCCUCAUGAGCAGAGAUCUUCCUCUCCGUGGAGACAGAGGGCAUCUCACCCCCCCUUCAGCCGUCUCUGUUCACGCCGCUGCUUCACUCUUGACUCCCGGGUGUUGCCUCCCCCUAAAUACAGUCUCUGGGUCACAGGGAAAAAACACGGGUCUGUCCAUGGCAAUACAAGAAAGAGUCCAGCCCAAGGCCACUCCAUCAUCUCUUCCACCCAGGAUUCUUCUCACCUCUUCCAGCUUUCCUCACGCUUGCCCAUUUCAUCUCCCAUCUCUCUCUCACCUCAUUCGGAUUCAGGAGGAUUCAGUAUUUGUAAGGUUUCUAUUAGUCUACAAAGGGGUUAAAAUCUUCACUUCUGCCUGCCCAAGGACUCCCACAUCUGCAGGGCACCUUCUCUCUGCCGCAUCCCCCGCUUCUGGCCGGCUGAGCUGCCAGCACAAUUUCUGUCCCUCUCUCCGGGGGGGGCUGCCCAGACAUCUCAAGUCUCAUCAACCCCUGCAUGUUCUCUUCCACCUCUGCACCUUUUGGGGCUCCCGGCCUCCUCCCCGUCAUGGCCUCCCCCACCCAGGCACAGCUGGGCAGGGGAGAGGUCAGACUCUACUCACCAACGCCGGAUUCCCAAAGAGGAAGUUCUCUGGGAAUCUCCUGCUUUUAACCCCCGUGUGUUCUCAGAGGCGUAUCCAGAUCCUCAGUGGCUACAUCACAUGCCAAUUUUGAAUUUGGCCACUGAUUGGCCCGACUUAGACCUUUCCAGAAACACAUUUCCGGGCCAAACCACGACUGUGGACUGUCCAGAGGAUCUUGCAAAAGAAUUUGCAUCAGGAUAAAGAGGAGAAUGAAAGAGGGCCUUUGUUUGACAUAAGCACAAGAAAUUCACAUAAGCAAACAAGUACUUAGCACAGACACAGGUAAGUACUUAGCACCAGUUAGCAUGAGAAAAACCUGGUGGGCCUAACUUGACAGGAGAGGGACUUGAAAAAAGCUUUAGACACAUUCUAGCAGGAGAGCAAAGGGCACCUAGGGAAUGAGCCCUGUGCAGGGAAGCCAUGAGGAAGAAGUGCUGCUUUAGGGCAUGGAGACCGCUCUGGCCAGCGCCUGGACGUCAGCUUCAAGUACAGGAAUCUGACAGAAUGUAUUUCUAACCCCCUGCCUAUGCAAUCACCUCAGCAGGGUAAAGAUGGAUGGUAUUUUUUAUCAAAUUUCUGCAUCAACCCACUGAAAUUUAUACGUGGCCAAAAAGCAUUUUGGUAGGGUGCAGACCCCUGCCCUCCUACCAGCUCAAUAAAAGGGCUUUUAGCAGAUAA